AUUGAACGCUGGCGGCAGGCCUAACACAUGCAAGUCGAACGGUAGCACAGAGAGCUUGCUCUCGGGUGACGAGUGGCGGUCGGGUGAGUAAUGUCUGGGAAACUGCCCGAUGGAGGGGGAUAACUACUGGAAACGGUAGCUAAUACCGCAUAACGUCUUCGGACCAAAGUGGGGGACCUUCGGGCCUCACACCAUCGGAUGUGCCCAGAUGGGAUUAGCUAGUAGGUGGGGUAAUGGCUCACCUAGGCGACGAUCCCUAGCUGGUCUGAGAGGAUGACCAGCUACACUGGAACUGAGACACGGUCCAGACUCCUACGGGAGGCAGCAGUGGGGAAUAUUGCACAAUGGGCGCAAGCCUGAUGCAGCCAUGCCGCGUGUAUGAAGAAGGCCUUCGGGUUGUAAAGUACUUUCAGCGGGGAGGAAGGCGGUGAAGUUACUAGCUUCAUCGAUUGACGUUACCCGCAGAAGAAGCACCGGCUAACUCCGUGCCAGCCGCCGCCGUAA
rnacentral:rRNA from 1 species